GUGCAGCAGGCGAGAAUCCUUCGCAAUGUGCGAAAGCAUGACGAAGCGACGCCGCGUGGAAGAUGAAGCCCUGCGGGGUGUAAAUUCCUUUUAUAGGGGAAGAACUUUUGUGACUGUACCCUAUGAAUAAGGAGCUACUAAUCACGUGCCAGCAGUAGCGGUAAUACGUGAGCUCCGAGCGUUAUCCGGAUUUACUGGGCGUAAAGCGUUCGUAGGCGUCUCUAGUUUAAGUUUUCUAGUUAAAUCUACGUAACGG
rnacentral:rRNA from 1 species